rnacentral:rRNA from 1 species
GACGAACCGAGCGAACGUUGUUCGGAAUCACUGGGCUUAAAGGGCGCGUAGGCGGGCCGCCGCGUCCGGGGUGAAAUCCUCCCGCUCAACGGGAGAACGGCCUCGGAUACGGGCGGUCUGGAGGGGGUAGGGGCGUGCGGAACUGUGGGUGGAGCGGUGAAAUGCGUUGAUAUCCACAGGAACGUCCGGUGGCGAAGGCGG